UACGUAGGGUGCAAGCGUUGUCCGGAAUUAUUGGGCGUAAAGAGCUUGUAGGCGGUUUGUCGCGUCUGCUGUGAAAUUUCGGGGCUCAACCCCGAACUUGCAGUGGGUACGGGCAGACUAGAGUGUGGUAGGGGAGACUGGAAUUCCUGGUGUAGCGGUGAAAUGCGCAGAUAUCAGGAGGAACACCGGUGGCGAAGGCGGGUCUCUGGGAC
rnacentral:rRNA from 1 species